UACAGAGGUCUCAAGCGUUGUUCGGAUUCAUUGGGCGUAAAGGGUGCGUAGGCGGCACGGCAAGUCAGGAGUGAAAGCCCUGGGCUCAACCCGGGAACUGCUUUUGAAACUGCCGAGCUAGAGUGCGGAAGGGGCAACUGGAAUUCCCAGUGUAGCGGUGAAAUGCGUAGAUAUUGGGAAGAACACCUGAGGCGAAGGCGGGUUGCUGGGCUGAUACUGACGCUGAGGCGCGAAAGCCAGGGGAGCGAACGGG
rnacentral:rRNA from 1 species